rnacentral:SRP_RNA from 2 species
GCCAGGCAUGGUGGUGCAUGCCUGUAAUCCUAGCUACUUGGGAGGCUGAGAUGGGAGAAUUGCUUGAAUCCAGGAGGCAGAGGUUGCAUUGAGCUGAGAUUGCGCCACUGCACGCCAGCCUGGGUGACAGAGCAAGACUCCAUCUCAA